UACGUAGGGGGCAAGCGUUGUCCGGAUUCAUUGGGCGUAAAGAGCGUGUAGGCGGCCAGGUAGGUCGGUUGUGAAAACUGGAGGCUCAACCUUCAGAGGUCGACCGAAACCAUCUGGCUAGAGUCCGGGAGAGGAGAGUGGAAUUCCGUGGUGUAGCGGUGAAAUGCGCAGAUAUCAGGAAGAACACCCGUGGCGAAGGCGGUUCUCUGGGACGGUACUGACGCUGAGACGCGAAAGCGUGGGGAGCGAACAGG
rnacentral:rRNA from 1 species